rnacentral:piRNA from 1 species
UGGUCGUACAUCGUGAUUGGGCGAACGGC